rnacentral:rRNA from 1 species
GACGUAGGAUGCAAGCGUUGUCCGGAUUUAUUGGGCGUAAAGAGUUCGUAGGUGGUUCGUUAAGUCUGAUGUUAAAGACUGGGGCUCAACCCUGGAAGUGCAUUGGAUACUGGCGGACUCGAGUGUGGUAGAGGCAAUCGGAAUUCCAGGUGUAGCGGUGAAAUGCGUAGAUAUCUGGAAGAACACCGGUGGCGCAAGCGGAUUGCUGGGCCAUAACUGACACUGAGGAACGAAAGCUAGGGGAGCGAAUGGG